GGGGAAUCUUGCGCAAUGGGCGAAAGCCUGACGCAGCAACGCCGCGUGCGGGAUGAAGGCCUUCGGGUUGUAAACCGCUUUCAGUGGGGACGAAUCAAGACGGUACCCACAGAAGAAGCCCCGGCCAACUACGUGCCAGCAGCCGCGGUAACACGUAGGGGGCAAGCGUUGUCCGGAUUUAUUGGGCGUAAAGAGCUCGUAGGUGGUUCAGUAAGUCGGGUGUGAAACCUCCAGGCUCAACCUGGAGACGCCACCCGAUAGUGCUGUGACUAGAGUCCAGUAGGGGAGCAUGGAAUUCCUGGUGUAGCGGUGAAAUGCGCAGAUAUCAGGAGGAACACCAGUGGCGAAGGCGGUGCUCUGGGCUGGAACUGACACUGAGGAGCGAAAGCGUGGGGAGCGAAC
rnacentral:rRNA from 1 species